GCAGGGAAGGUCUUCGUUUGUUUGAUGUUGAAAAUACAGUUUAGCUCAAAGAUGAAGACUUUGAAACAUAAAGGUUAUUUGAAAGGAGGAAAAACUCCCAAAGCAUCCACUGUUCUUGGUAUUGCUGUGGAAGAAAAACUACUUGGACCAGGCUUGGAGGAAUAAAAAUGUUAGACCAAGCAGCAUCAGAUAGAAAAAAGUCUGGCACUAAUGAACCAACCAGAGCACAGGACAACUCAAAGCAAAGCAAGAUCAGAAGAUGCAGAGAGUUCCGGCCCAUAGAAUGGCCAAGAGUUUGGCAUGACUGAGUGGAUAGCAUCUUCAUGCUGUGCAAAGUAGACUGCAGCAGCAAUUACACGGCAGCCUUCUGGUUUGGUUGAAUUCUGCUAUUCCUGGAAGAUCCUAUGCAUCUCCUGACACUUGAGGACAUAUCUUGUUUGCUGUUCCGACCAGUUUCAGAUGAUGGGACAAGGUUCAAUGCUGUGAAUCUAAUCUGGUUCAAAAGCAGAAGCAGGCCUUUUGAAAGCCCAACCAGGAAGACGGCAGUGGCAACUUGAAAUGGUGGGAGAAAUAUUUUGAAGCCCCCGUUUCUCAGGUACUCAGGUGAUGCUUCUCCCCUCAG
rnacentral:lncRNA from 1 species